rnacentral:tRNA from 2 species
AGUACAUUAUAGGUUAUAUACGAGCAGUCGACUCAUAAUCGAUUGGUCCCCAGUUCAAGUCUGGGAGGGGCCACCA